rnacentral:rRNA from 1 species
UGGGGAAUAUUGCACAAUGGGCGGAAGCCUGAUGCAGCGACGCCGCGUGAGGGAUGACGGCCUUCGGGUUGUAAACCUCUUUCGCUAGGGACGAAGCGCGAGUGACGGUACCUAGAGAAGAAGCACCGGCCAACUACGUGCCAGCAGCCGCGGUAAUACGUAGGGUGCAAGCGUUGUCCGGAAUUACUGGGCGUAAAGAGCUCGUAGGCGGUUUGUCGCGUCGUCUGUGAAAUUCUGCAGCUUAACUGCAGGCGUGCAGGCGAUACGGGCAGACUUGAGUACUACAGGGGAGACUGGAAUUCCUGGUGUAGCGGUGAAAUGCGCAGAUAUCAGGAGGAACACCGGUGGCGAAGGCGGGUCUCUGGGUAGUAACUGACGCUGAGGAGCGAAAGCGUGGGGAGCGAACAGG